UACGGGGGGUGCGAGCGUUGUCCGGAUUCAUUGGGCGUAAAGAGCGUGUAGGCGGCCAGGUAGGUCGGUUGUGAAACUGGAGGCUCAACCUUCAGAGGUCGACCGAAACCAUCUGGCUAGAGUCCGGGAGAGGAGAGUGGAAUUCCUGGUGUAGCGGUGAAAUGCGCAGAUAUCAGGAAGAACACCCGUGGCGAAAGCGGCUCUCUGGAACGGUACUGACGCUGAGACGCGAAAGCGUGGGGAGCGAACAGG
rnacentral:rRNA from 1 species